rnacentral:rRNA from 1 species
GACGAACGCUGGCGGCGUGCCUAAUACAUGCAAGUAGAACGCUGAAGGAGGAGCUUGCUCUUCUGGAUGAGUUGCGAACGGGUGAGUAACGCGUAGGUAACCUGCCUGGUAGCGGGGGAUAACUAUUGGAAACGAUAGCUAAUACCGCAUAACAGUAGAUGUUGCAUGACAUUUGCUUAAAAGGUGCAAUUGCACCACUACCAGAUGGACCUGCGUUGUAUUAGCUAGUUGGUGGGGUAACGGCUCACCAAGGCGACGAUACAUAGCCGACCUGAGAGGGUGAUCGGCCACACUGGGACUGAGACACGGCCCAGACUCCUACGGGAGGCAGCAGUAGGGAAUCUUCGGCAAUGGACGGAAGUCUGACCGAGCAACGCCGCGUGAGUGAAGAAGGUUUUCGGAUCGUAAAGCUCUGUUGUAAGAGAAGAACGAGUGUGAGAGUGGAAAGUUCACACUGUGACGGUAUCUUGCCAGAAAGAGACGGCUAACUACGUG